ensembl:lncRNA
UACAUGCAACUUCAAGUUAUCUCUGUUAUAAAAAUCCACCAGCCCAGCGUUUAUAGAUAAUUUUAGCAGUUCGUUUUUUAUGAGUGAGGUUGUGAAUUUAGUUAGCGUUUGUUAGUUGACUUUAAGUGUAGAGCUUAAGCAGUUUUGGCUUUCCUUUUUCAUAAUGCCAGGAGAAGCUUUAGAUGCUUGUUUUGCCUUUAUUUGUUUAAAGCAAUAUAUUUGACUAGCAGCAAGUGUGUGGAGGGCAAAAUAUGUUCAAGACAAUAAAAAUGUCAGUGAAGGACAAAUGAAAUUUUGUUGCAGUGGUUUUCUGAUGCAUGUGUUUUAAGGUUUAAGGGUGGUGGCACAGCUAAGACCCAAGAGUCUCUUUCAAGACACUGAAUUUGAGCAGAAACCAUAAGGAUACUCAAAGGACCUGUGACUCUCAGGAAAUGCAUCAAAUGAGAGGGACAGAUGAAACAGUUUCAAGACAAUGGCAGGAAAAACAUGCUGAAGAUUGAAACAAACCUUGGCUGGAAAUAUUUGAAAAACUAAGUAAGCUGGAAGUUUUGCUUCUCAGUGCGGAAGGAUGAAAGAUGUGUUUUGAAAAUGCCACGUGACUACCGUCCUCCUCCCUCUCGGAUCAGUCCGC